AGAGUUUGAUCCUGGCUCAGGAUGAACGCUGGCGGCGUGCCUAACACAUGCAAGUCGAGCGAGAAGCUUUUGAAUGAUUCUUCGGAUGAAUGAUGAAGUGGAAAGCGGCGGACGGGUGAGUAACGCGUAGGCAACCUGCCCCUUGCAGAGGGAUAGCCACCGGAAACAGUGAUUAAAACCUCAUAAUACUUUCCUUACACAUGUAAGGAAAGUCAAAGAUUUAUCGGCAAGGGAUGGGCCUGCAUCUGAUUAGCUAGUUGGUGAGGUAACGGCUCACCAAGGCGACGAUCAGUAGCCGACCUGAGAGGGUGAUCGGCCACAUUGGAACUGAGACACGGUCCAAACUCCUACGGGAGGCAGCAGUGGGGAAUAUUGCACAAUGGGCGAAAGCCUGAUGCAGCAACGCCGCGUGAAGGAUGAAGGCCUUCGGGUCGUAAACUUCUGUCCUAGGGGAAGAAGAACUGACGGUACCCUUGGAGGAAGCCCCGGCUAACUACGUGCCAGCAGCCGCGGUAAUACGUAGGGGGCAAGCGUUAUCCGGAAUUAUUGGGCGUAAAGAGUGCGUAGGUGGUUCUUUAAGCGUAGGGUAUAAGGCAAUGGCUCAACCAUUGUUCGCCCUAGGAACUGGAGGACUUGAGUGCAGGAGAGGUAAGCGGAAUUCCUAGUGUAGCGGUGAAAUGCGUAGAUAUUAGGAGGAACACCGGUGGCGAAGGCGGCUUACUGGACUGUAACUGACGUUGAGGCUCGAAAGCGUGGGGAGCAAACAGGAUUAGAUACCCUGGUAGUCCACGCCGUAAACGAUGAUUACUAGGUGUCGGGAGACGAGGUCUUCCGGUGCCGCCUGCUAACGCAGUAAGUAAUCCACCUGGGGAGUGCGUUGGCAAGAAAUGAACUCAAAAGGAAUUGACGGGGGCCCGCACAAGCGGUGGAGCAUGUGGUUUAAUUCGAAGCAACGCGAAGGAACCUUACCAAGUCUUGACAUCCUCCUGAAUAUCCUUUAACAGGGAUAGUCCUUCGGGACAGGAGAGACAGAUGGUGCAUGGUUGUCGUCAGCUCGUGUCGUGAGAUGUUGGGUUAAGUCCCGCAACGAGCGCAACCCUUAUCCUCAGUAGCCAGCAGUAAGAUGGGAACUCUGGGGAGACUGCCGGGGAUAACCCGGAGGAAGGUGGGGAUGACGUCAAAUCAUCAUGCCCCUUAUGACUUGGGCUACACACGUGCUACAAUGGCGUAAACAGAGGGAAGCGAGCCCGCGAGGGGGAGCCAAUCCCAAAAAUAACGUCUCAGUUCGGAUUGUAGUCUGCAACUCGACUACAUGAAGCUGGAAUCGCUAGUAAUCGCGAAUCAGAAUGUCGCGGUGAAUACGUUCCCGGGUCUUGUACACACCGCCCGUCA
rnacentral:rRNA from 1 species